rnacentral:rRNA from 1 species
UACGGAGGGUGCGAGCGUUGUCCGGAAUCACUGGGCGUAAAGGGCGCGUAGGCGGCCUGAUAAGUCGGGGGUGAAAUCUUGCGGCUCAACCGCAAGGCUGCCUUCUAAACUGUCAGGCUUGAGCACAGUAGAGGCAGGUGGAAUUCCCGGUGUAGCGGUGGAAUGCGUAGAGAUCGGGAAGAACAUCAGUGGCGAAGGCGGCCUGCUGGGCUGUUGCUGACGCUGAGGCGCGACAGCGUGGGGAGCAAACAGG